rnacentral:rRNA from 1 species
UACGUAGGGCGCAAGCGUUGUCCGGAAUUAUUGGGCGUAAAGAGCUCGUAGGCGGUUUGUCGCGUCUGUCGUGAAAGCCCACGGCUUAACCGUGGGUCUGCGGUGGAUACGGGCAGACUAGAGGCAGGUAGGGGAGAAUGGAAUUCCCGGUGUAGCGGUGAAAUGCGCAGAUAUCGGGAGGAACACCGGUGGCGAAGGCGGCAUCCUGGACCAACACUGACACUGAGGAGCGAAAGCCAGGGGAGCAAACGGG